GACGGAGGGGGCUAGCGUUGUUCGGAAUGACUGGGCGUAAAGGGCGCGUAGGUGGUUUUUUAAGUGAGGCGUGAAAGCCCUGGGCUUAACCCAGGAGGUGCGUUUCAUACUGGAAAGCUUGAGUGCGAGAGAGGAAAGUGGAAUUCCUAGUGUAGAGGUGAAAUUCGUAGAUAUUAGGAAGAACACCAGUGGCGAAAGCGACUUUCUGGCUCGCAACUGACGCUGAGGCGCGAAAGCGUGGGGAGCAAACAGG
rnacentral:rRNA from 1 species